rnacentral:snRNA from 1 species
GUCUCUUUGGAGACAUCUGAUAAAGUUGGAAAAAUGCAGGGAAGAUUAGCAUGGUCCCCGCACAAGGAUACAUAGAAAUCUAGAAGUGUGAUACCAUCCU